UACGUAGGAGGCAAGCGUUGUCCGGAAUUACUGGGCGUAAAGCGCGUGUAGGUGGUGGGACAAGUCUGCUGUGAAAGCGCCUGGCUUAACCGGGCGAGGUCGGCGGAAACUGUUCGACUCGAGGACGGUAGAGGGGGGUGGAAUUCCCGGUGUAGUGGUGAAAUUCGUAGAUAUCGGGAGGAACACCAGUGGCGAAGGCGGCGACCUGGGCAGAUACUGACGCUGAGGUGCGAAAGCGUGGGGAGCAAACAGG
rnacentral:rRNA from 1 species